rnacentral:rRNA from 1 species
UACGUAGGAUGCAAGCGUUGUCCGGAAUUACUGGGCGUAAAGCGCACGUAGGCGGCUUUGUAAGUUAGAGGUGAAAGCCCGGGGCUCAACCCCGGAAUUGCCUUUAAGACUGCAUCGCUAGAAUUGUGGAGAGGUAAGUGGAAUCCGAGUGUAGAGGUGAAAUUCGUAGAUAUUCGGAAGAACACCAGUGGCGAAGGCGACUUACUGGACACAUAUUGACGCUGAGGUGGCGAAAGCGUGGGGAGCAA